AAAUUGAAGAGUUUGAUCAUGGCUCAGAUUGAACGCUGGCGGCAGGCCUAACACAUGCAAGUCGAACGGUAACAGAAAGCAGCUUGCUGCUUUGCUGACGAGUGGCGGACGGGUGAGUAAUGUCUGGGAAACUGCCUGAUGGAGGGGGAUAACUACUGGAAACGGUGGCUAAUACCGCAUAACGUCGCAAGACCAAAGAGGGGGACCUUCGGGCCUCUUGCCAUCAGAUGUGCCCAGAUGGGAUUAGCUUGUUGGUGAGGUAACGGCUCACCAAGGCGACGAUCCCUAGCUGGUCUGAGAGGAUGACCAGCCACACUGGAACUGAGACACGGUCCAGACUCCUACGGGAGGCAGCAGUGGGGAAUAUUGCACAAUGGGCGCAAGCCUGAUGCAGCCAUGCCGCGUGUAUGAAGAAGGCCUUCGGGUUGUAAAGUACUUUCAGCGGGGAG
rnacentral:rRNA from 1 species